rnacentral:rRNA from 1 species
CGAGGGGAGUGAAAAAGAACCUGAAACCGUGUACGUACAAGCAGUAGGAGCCUCUUUAUGGGGUGACUGCGUACCUUUUGUAUAAUGGGUCAGCGACUUAUAUUCUGUAGCGAGGUUAACCGUAUAGGGGAGCCGUAGGGAAACCGAGUCUUAACUGGGCGAAUGAGUUGCAGGGUAUAGACCCGAAACCCGGUGAUCUAUCCAUGGGCAGGUUGAAGGUUGG